rnacentral:lncRNA from 10 species
CAGCAUCCAGCGGUACUCAAUAAAUGCCAGCUGAAUAAGUGUCUGGUCCAGCAUCAUUCAUUCCUAUCCCACUACACAGACUUGGAUUAAAAAUUACCAGAUGAGAGUGAGAAUUAGUCUCCAUGCUUGGAAGAAGCAGCCCCAGAGAGGUGUGGUUCAACCGGAGUCUGCUUACCAGGAACACAACCCACUGCUGAGGAAGGAAGCCCAUUUCAACCAUUUCAAGGUGCAUCCUUACUGCUGGGAAAUAGAUGGUUAGAAAGAGAUUCAUAUUUUUUCCUCAUGAUUCUUCACAGAGACGAAAUAGAACCAACAGUGGCUUGAAAACAUGGAAGGAACAGCAACUGGAGGCUGGCCAGCCCUGUGCUCUGAUUCUGGAAGACAAUGGCUCCAAGCUCUGAACUGGAUUUAGAGGGUAUCCUUUAAGAGGCUCUGGACACUCCCAGGGGCAAUUCGGCUUGGGCUGGAACCAGAAAGGGCUCAACCAAUAAAGAAUUUCCUGAGCCUCACAAUGAAGCAUUCCUGCCCUAGGAAGAACCAGGCAGAACCAGGCAGGAGAAGUGAAUUCUCAGGAGCAAUGAAGAAGGCAGGCCUGUCCCUUGAGCCUCCAGACAGAACUACUCCAUGAGGGCCUUCUGGUGUCUCUCUGUCUGUCUGUUUCUCUCUCUCUCUCUCUUUCCCUCCCUCUCUAUCUCCCUCUCUGAAACUAUCUUGGCGAGCUCACACCAGCAGGGAGACAGCCCUCCCAGCCCAGGCGCAGGAAAUGGCUGCCACGACAGGCGGCCAUGCCAAGUGGGAAGUGUGGCUUCCAGCAGCAGCACCUGGCCUCCUGGCAACUGCUCAGCCAGGCUUGGAGAGGUGCCUGAGCUUUUUUGUUCCUGAUUUUUGACAUCUCCCCCACCCCACCCUCCACUUCAUUUUUUUUUCCCCAAAAAACCAUCCUCUUAAAAGCCUCCCCCUGUGGCCUUGUGAGGGGCCAGAAGGGGCCAGUCCUAAACGGCUUCCCUCUUCUUGUUACAAAAGCUAUCUCUGACUCUUCAGUUAACCACAGGCUAAAAUCUAGCCUUCUUGAAACUGCAAGUUUCAUUUGUGAAAAGAAAAUGAAAUCUCCUUUUCUCUGGCAGUGUAACGAGGCUGCUUUUGUUAAGGCUGUGUGUUUGGGGGCAGCUAUCCGGCCCCACAAUGGACAUCGGGCAGGACCGUCAUCCGUCUUCCCAGUGACCACUCUGAGACAUCAGCAUCCUGAAGAGGGAUGAGAUACGUCAACCAUGGUGCCAGUCAUUGUCACACUCUGUCAUAUGGAAAGUAGCCCAAGGCAGAUCCACAAGCAAGACAGAGCUGAGAACUGGACCAUGGCUGAGCACUUGGCCUCACAGCCACCCAGCGCUAGGCUAACCAUGACCUAGGAUGUAGCCAGUGCAAAAACUGCCCAAGGAGGAUAAUGGUAACUUGUUACGCCAAACAGACUCAAAGUCUCCCUCUAGAGUGUAAACAGAGAGCUUCAGAGAGAAGCCACCCAACAGAAACCAGGAGCAGGAAUAAGAAAGCAUCAAGAUGCAGAGGACGCAGGAGAAGCAGCAUCUGCACGAUGGGCAGAGGACAGAGGUGAGGAUCUCACACCCCAGGGGCUGAGGGAGAGACCUCAGACCCAGGAUGAGGAAGAAUCCCAUGGGAUCCCUACUCAUCUACAGCCCCCACACCCUGACAAGAAACCCCUAUCCCCUGAGAGUCUCUGACCCAGCUGUGUGCAGCCAUUCAAGACUCUCCAAUCCCAACCCACCUGCCGUGGCUUCUCUUCUAUUCCUGCUCCACACAUAAUGCUCCUGGGCCCCAAACAGGCUGUGUGCAUGCCUGCUCACUCUUCCUCCCCACCCCAACCCUUCAAGGCCCAGUCACACUCACCCUCUGCCUGAUGGAGAGACCUCCCAACAUAACUCCAAUCGCAUUGUGACCCCGGUGCCUUCUAGCACAUACCCAGUAAAUGCUGGCUGGCCAACUGGCCUGAUAAUAUGAAAUAUAAUACAAUAGGCCUAUAAUACAAUAGACCUAGAGCAGUAGUUCUUUUUGUUUUAUCC